GAUGAACGCUAGCUACAGGCUUAACACAUGCAAGUCGAGGGGCAGCGGUAUCGAAAGCUUGCUUUCGGUAGCCGGCGACCGGCGCACGGGUGAGUAACGCGUAUCGAACCUGCCUCAUACUCGGGAAUAGCCUUGCGAAAGUAAGAUUAAUGCCCGGUGUUUUCAGAGUCCCGCAUGAGGCUUUGAACAAAGAUUUAUCGGUAUGAGAUGGCGAUGCGUCCCAUUAGCUUGUUGGCGGGGUAACGGCCCACCAAGGCAUCGAUGGGUAGGGGUUCUGAGAGGAAGGUCCCCCACAUUGGAACUGGGACACGGUCCAAACUCCUACGGGAGGCAGCAGUGAGGAAGAUUGGUCAAGGGGCGGAAGCCUGAACCAGCCAAGUAGCGUGCAGGAAGACGGCGCUCCGGGUUGUAAACUGCUUUUAGUUGGGAACAAAACGGGGCUCGUGAGCCCCCUUGCAUGUACCAUCAGAAAAAGGACCGGCUAAUUCCGUG
rnacentral:rRNA from 1 species